rnacentral:tRNA from 1 species
AAGGUUUUAAGUUAAAAAAACUAUUAGCCUUCAAAGCUAAAAAUAAAAAUUUUAUUUUAAACCUUA